AGUGGGNAAUCUUGAGCAAUGGGCGAAAGCCUGACGCAGCAACGCCGCGUGGNGGAUGAAGGCCUUCGGGUUGUAAACUCCUGUCAGGGGGGACGAAUGCCGNGAGGGCNNNUUGACUGUACCCUUUGAGGAAGCCCCGGCUAACUCCGUGCCAGCAGCCGCGGUAAUACGGAGGUGGCAAGCGUUGUUCGGAAUUACUGGGCGUAAAGGGCGCGUAGGCGGCUUGGCAAGUCAGAUGUGAAAGCCCCGGGCUUAACCUGGGAAUUGCAUUUGAAACUGCUUUGCUUGAGUCCUGGAGAGGGUAGUGGAAUUCCCAGUGUAGCGGUGAAAUGCGUAGAUAUUGGGAGGAACACCAGUGGCGAAGGCGGCUNCCUGGACAGUUACUGACGCUGAGGCGCGAAAGCUAGGGGAGCAAACNGGAUUAGAUACCCCGGUAGUCCUAGCCGUAAACGAUGGGCACUUGGUGUUGGGGGUAUUGACCCCCUCGGUGCCGAAGUUAACGCAUUAAGUGCCCCGCCUGGGGAGUACGGUCACA
rnacentral:rRNA from 1 species